rnacentral:rRNA from 1 species
GAUGAACGCUGGCGGCGUGCUUAACACAUGCAAGUCGAACGAUGAAGCCCAGCUUGCUGGGUGGAUUAGUGGCGAACGGGUGAGUAACACGUGAGUAACCUGCCCUUAACUCUGGGAUAAGCCUGGGAAACUGGGUCUAAUACCGGAUAGGAGCGUCCACCGCAUGGUGGGUGUUGGAAAGAUUUAUCGGUUUUGGAUGGACUCGCGGCCUAUCAGCUUGUUGGUGAGGUAAUGGCUCACCAAGGCGACGACGGGUAGCCGGCCUGAGAGGGUGACCGGCCACACUGGGACUGAGAAACGGCCCAGACUCCUACGGGAGGCAGCAGUGGGGAAUAUUGCACAAUGGGCGCAAGCCUGAUGCAGCGACGCCGCGUGAGGGAUGACGGCCUUCGGGUUGUAAACCUCUUUCAGUAGGGAAGAAGCGAAAGUAACGGUACCUGCAGAAGAAGCACCGGCUAACUACGUG